CAUUUUGCAUUUUGCAAUUUGAAUCGUGUUUGAAUUUUUCAGUUGAUCGUAUUUUAUUCGUUUCUUCAAUGUCUUCUUCAAAAAUGGAGUGCAACCUACCUUCCAUGAAACCGGAACUGCUACUUCAAUCUGAUAAAAACGUAAAAGCAUUAGAUUUUUUUAUUCAUAAUGAUAUGCUAAUGGCGACUGGCUUGGUAAAUAAUGAUGUUGAGCUGUGGGAUUUGCGUGGUGAUGUAACAACAUAUAGCCUUGAAGGUCACCAUGCAGAGGUCACUGAUGUCAAAUUUUCACUAUCGGGGCAUUUAUUGGCUUCUUCAUCUAAAGACAAGAGUGUUAUUAUAUGGGAGGUUUUGAAAAGGCAAAGAAAAUAUUCAUUUGCAACACAUUUGGAACCAGUGCGGUCAGUUCAGUUUAGUCCAAAUGAUAUGCAGAUAAUAACAGCUUCCGAUGAUAGAUCAAUACAUAUAUAUUCGCAUGAAAAACGCAAGCUUGCAUGCAGGCUAGCAGGGCAUAAAGACCAUGUACUAUGUGCCAUGAUGUCAGAUGAUAGUACUCAAAUAGCAUCAUGUUCUGUUGAUCAAAAUAUUCGGUUUUGGGAUGCAAAUACAACAAAAUGUAUAUAUAGAUACGAGUAUCUGAGCGGUUAUGGAAAUAAUUUAGCUUGGUUACCAGGAACUAAAUUUCUAGGUGUGGGUACAUCAUUGGGCAAAUUAAAACUAUUUGAUACAAGAACUCAUAAUACAGCACAAUUCUACAGUUUACACACAGCUCCGAUAACACAAUUAGCUUUUCACCCCAAAAAGAAAUAUAUUGUGACUGCAAGUAAAGAUGGCACUUUGAAGGUCGUGGAUUUAAACAUGGGAAAACCUUUAUAUUCUUUAGAUAGUACAUCUAAUGCUGCAAAGAAUGCUGUUACUUAUUAUACUAACUUUACUACUAAGAGUGGUGCAUUUAUAGCUGCGGCUACUUCAGACCGAUUGGUUGCUAUAUGGAAAACAUAAUUCAAAUCUUGAAUUUAAAGCUCGAAAAAUAUGAAUUGUUAUGAUAUUUCUUUCUACUUAUACCCAUCAACAGAAAUUAAGGGAUUUAUUCCACUUGCAUAUAUAGAAGUAUACCGCUGAAAUUGGAUUUGAGUAACAUGAUGAAAUAGAGAAUUAUAUAUAUUUGUAUAACAAUUGGAUUGAAGAAUCAUGUUGAAAUAGAGAAAAAAUAAUAUUGGUUUAUCAAAUGACUAAUCCUUUGUAAUUAUGCAGUAUAAUACAUUCAAAGCGGUAGCAUCACUCCAUUUACAUGCAAUGCAUAAGCUUUACUUAUUGCAUGUUAUCAGAGUAAUGCACUAUUUACAAAUUUUUUACAACAUUACUGAAUAAUAAAUUAUUGAACAAAAUAUAUCUUGGGGCCAUACAAUGAAAAAUAAUGAAAAAAGCGAUAUCUAGAUAAUAACAGCUUCCGAUGAUAAAACAAUACAUAUAUGUGGGAUAUUGUAAAGAAUUGGGGCGAAACACUCACUUUUUUAUAUUUCUUGAUGGAAACAAAAACAAAACACGGCGUACAUCUUUUAUUUCGUUUGACAACUCUGACUGACAUUACAUCUUUCAACGGUUGACAUCUUGAGUGACAAUUUAAUGCUACCAACGUACAACAACAAAAAAAUAAAAAGUACCAAUUACUAUUAAAUUAUACCACAUAUAUAUUCGCAUGAGAAACGCAAGCUUGCAUGCAGGCUUGCAGGGCAUAAAGACCAUGUACUAUGUGCCACAUGAUGUCAGAUGAUAGUACUCAGAUAGCAUCAUGUUCUGUUGAUCAAAAUAUUCGGUUUUGGGAUGCAAAUACAACAAAAUGUAUAUAUAGAUACGAGUAUCUGAGCGGUCAUGGAAAUAAUUUAGCUUGGUUACCAGGAACUAAAUUUCUAGGUGUGGGUACAGCAUUGGGCAAAUUAAAACUAUUUGAUACAAGAACUCAUAAAACAGCCCAAUUUUUCAGUUUACAUACAGCUGCGAUAACACAAGCAUAAGCACGGGGGUUUCAAUUUGACAGCGGGGUGCACGCGUUUUUCACAAGCUGAGAUGUGUGUGUGAAUGCGAAACGGACGUUUCGUCAUUUAUUUUGCCAAUAUUUUUGAAAUGCCACCUUCUCACCAGUCGUUCGUACCAGUUGUCGUGGAUUUAAACAUGGGAAAACCUUUAUAUUCUUUAGAUAGUACAUCUAAUGCUGCAAAGAAUGCUGUUACUUAUUAUACUAACUUUACUACUAAGAGUGGUGCAUUUAUAGCUGCGGCUACUUCAGACCGAUUGGUUGGUAUAUGGAAAACAUAAUUCAAAUAGAAUCUUGAAUUUAAAGCUCGAAAAAUAUGAAUUGUUAUGAUAUUUCUUUCCACUUAUACCCAUCAACAGAAAUUAAGGGAUUUAUUCCACUUGCAUAUAUAGAAGUAUACCGCUGAAAUUGGAUUUGAGUAACAUGAUGAAAUAGAGAAUUAUAUAUAUUUGUCUAAGAAGUGGAAUCUAACAAUUGGAUUGAAGAAUCAUGUUGAAAUAGAGAAAAAAUAAUAUUGGUUUAUCAAAUGACUAAUCCUUUGUAAUUAUGCAGUAUAAUACAUUCAAAGCGGUAGCAUCACUCCAUUUACAUGCAAUGCAUAAGCUUUACUUAUUGCAUGUUAUCAGAGUAAUGCACUAUUUACAAAUUUUUAACAGCAUUACUGAAUAAUAAAUUAUUGAACAAAAUAUAUCUUGGGGCCAUACAAUGAAAAAUAAUGAGAAAAGCGAUAUCUAGAUAAUAACAGCUUCCGAUGAUAAAACAAUACAUAUAUAUUCGCAUGAAAAACGCAAGCUGAUCCUAUUUUUAUUUGCAGAUUAUGAGGUGGUUGGUAUAUGGAAAACAUAAUUCAAAUAGAAUCUUGAAUUUAAAGCUCGAAAAAUAUGAAUUGUUAUGAUAUUUCUUUCUACUUAUACCCAUCAACAGAAAUAAAGGGAUUUAUUCCACUUGCAUAUAUAGAAGUAUACCGCUACUAUACUAGGAAUGUUUGAAAUUGGAUUUGAGUAACAUGAUGAAAUAGAGAAUUAUAUAUAUUUGUCUAACAAUUGGAUUGAAGAAUCAUGUUGAAAUAGAGAAAAAAUAAUAUUGGUUUAUCAAAUGACUAAUCCUUUGUAAUUAUACAGUAUAAUACAUUCAAAGCGGUAGCAUCACUCCAUUUACAUGCAAUGCAUAAGCUUUACUUAUUGCAUGUUAUCAGAGUAAUGCACUAUUUACAAAUUUUGUACAACAUUACUGAAUAAUAAAUUAUUGAACAAAAUAUAUCUUGGGGCCAUACAAUGAAAAAUAAUGAGAAAAGCGAUAUCUAGAUAAUAACAGCUUCCGAUGAUAAAACAAUACAUAUAUAUUCGCAUGAAAAACGCAAGCUUGCAUGCAGGCUUGCAGGGCAUAAAGACCAUGUACUAUGUGCCACAUGAUGUCAGAUGAUAGUACUCAGAUAGCAUCAUGUUCUGUUGAUCAAAAUAUUCGGUUUUGGGAUGCAAAUACAACAAAAUGUAUAUUUAGAUACGAGUAUCUGAGCGGUCAUGGAAAUAAUUUAGCUUGGAUACGAGGAACUAAAUUUCUAGGUGUGGGUACAUCAUUGGGAAAAUUAAAACUAUUUGAUACAAGAAUUCAUAAAACAGCGCAAUUUUUCAGGUUGGUAUAUGGAAAACAUAAUUCAAAUAGAAUCUUGAAUUUAAAGCUCGAAAAAUAUGAAUUGUUAUGAUAUUUCUUUCUACUUAUACCCAUCAACAGAAAUUAAGGGAUUUAUUCCACUUGCAUAUAUAGAAGUAUACCGCUACUAUACUAGGAAUGUUUGAAAUUGGAUUUGAGUAACAUGAUGAAAUAGAGAAUUAUAUAUAUUUGUCUAACAAGUGGAAUCUAACAAUUGGAUUGAAGAAUAAUGUUGAAAUAGAGAAAAAAUAAUAUUGGUUUAUCAAAUGACUAAUCCUUUGUAAUUAAAUCCGGCUAAGUUUGUUGUGGGCUUCUUCUUAGACCGGGACGCGUUUGGAACCCUCGUAGCUUUAGUUUUAAGUUUACGAAUGUGGUUAUCGCCAUCAUCUCACUACCGUGUAAUUCUUAUGUACGCAUCAAAAGUGCCACCUGUGGGAAAGAUAUGAAGAUAAAGAUAUUUAUGACUUAAAAAAUUAUGCAGUAUAAUACAUUCAAAGCGGUAGCAUCACUCCAUUUACAUGCAAUGCAUAAGCUUUACUUAUUGCAUGUUAUCAGAGUAAUGCCCUAUUUACAAAUUUUGUACAACAUUAUUGAAUAAUAAAUUAUUGAACAAAAUAUAUCUUGGGGCCAUACAAUGAAAAAUAAUGAGAAAAGCGAUAUCUAGGUAUGGCAUAUAAGAACGUUCACACUAUAUGUGAUGCACUAUAUGUGAUGCAGUCGCAGUGGUCGACGGCAGACCGAGUUAGCUCUGAUGUUUGCCCCUCGUCCUUCCUCUAACAUAACAUAGAAGGUGACUAAUGGUUGCAUGCGGACUAUAACUUUACUACAGAGCUACGUAACUUAUUGUUAUUACUAGGUUUAUUGUUUCAUUGAUUUUUUUCUUUAAUUUAUAAUAAAGUUUUAUUUAUUUGCA